UGGCUGAUGGUGUAAUGGAAAGCAUCUAGGGGAGCGGACCCUAGGAUUCGGGUUCGAUUCCCGAUUGGCCAU